rnacentral:tRNA from 2 species
GGAAAGAUGGCAGAGUGGUUAAUGCAGUUGUCUUGAAAACAACAACCCUCUUGUGGGUUCAUGGGUUCAAAUCCCAUUCUUUCCU